rnacentral:lncRNA from 1 species
CAGUGAGUGAAGGGACAAGAGUUGGAGGGCGUCUAUCCAGAUCAUCUCUCUUCACAGGAGGGGUCAUUUGGCUCAUUGUCCAGUAAAGGGCAACCUACUCCAGGCUGAAAAGAACAUCUUUCCUCUUCCCUCCAGGAAGUAGAGGAAGCCAGCUGCCAUGUUGUGAGCUAUGAGUUGCCUUAUGGAGAAGUCCACACAGCAAGGAACUGACGUCUGGCCAACAGCCAAAAAGGAACUGAAUCCUUCUAACAAUCCCAUGAGUGAAUUUCGAAGCAGACCCUGCCCCUGUUGAGCCUUCAAGUGAGGCCAUAGGCCCUGGCCCAGGCCUGGAUUGCAGCCUUGGGAGAGACCCUGAGCCAGAAGCAACCAACCAAGCUCCGCCCGGAUUCCUAACCCACAGACACCGUGAGAUCAUAAAUGUUGUUUUAAUUUCGGGGUAAUUUGUCCUGAAGCAAU